rnacentral:rRNA from 1 species
GCCAAUUCUCUGCCGGCAGCGUGAUCAGCCCGCCGCGUGUAUGAAGAAGGCCUUAAGAUUUGUAACUCCUGUUAGAGGGGAAGAUAACUAAGUUUGGAUCUUAGUAUGACUGUACCCUCCCAGAAAGCCCCGGCUAACUACAUGCCAGCAGCCGCGGUAAUGUAAUAA